rnacentral:lncRNA from 1 species
UAUUUUAAGGGGUUUUGUAAGUUUCACUUUUAAGGCAUUAGGGGUUUUGUAAGUUUCACUUUUAAGGCAUUCUGUCAUAUAUAUAUAUAUAUAGUCUCUUUCAGUUGAGGGAUCCCUCAAAUAGUGUUAUUUGAGGGAUGAGGCACUCAACCGUUGGAUCUGUUUUAACGACAUUGUGUGGCUGAGAUUGAAUUACAUCUUUUAACCCGUUUUCACAAGCCUGACC